rnacentral:rRNA from 1 species
UACGGAGGGUGCGAGCGUUGUCCGGAAUCACUGGGCGUAAAGGGCGCGUAGGCGGCCUGAUAAGUAGGGGGUGAAAUCCUGAGGCUUAACCUCAGGGCUGCCUUCUAAACUGUCAGGCUCGAGCACAGUAGAGGCAGGUGGAAUUCCCGGUGUAGCGGUGGAAUGCGCAGAUAUCAGGAGGAACACCAACGGCGAAGGCAGCUCGCUGGGACGGUACUGACGCUAAGGCGCGAAAGCGUGGGGAGCGAACAGG